rnacentral:rRNA from 1 species
UACAGAGGUCUCAAGCGUUGUUCGGAAUCACUGGGCGUAAAGGGUGCGUAGGCGGCGGAGUAAGUCGGGUGUGAAAUUUGAAGGCUCAACCUUCAACUAGCACCUGAUAACUGCUUUGCUUGAGGUCUGAAGAGGAGCUUGGAAUUCUCGGUGUAGCAGUGAAAUGCGUAGAUUUCGAGAAGAACGCUCGCAGCCGAAAGCGAAGCUCUGGUCAGAUUCUGACGCUGAGGCACGAAGGCUAGGGGAGCAAACGGG